AUGCAAGUCGAGCGGACAGAUGGGAGCUUGCUCCCUGAUGUUAGCGGCGGACGGGUGAGUAACACGUGGGUAACCUGCCUGUAAGACUGGGAUAACUCCGGGAAACCGGGGCUAAUACCGGAUGGUUGUUUGAACCGCAUGGUUCAAACAUAAAAGGUGGCUUCGGCUACCACUUACAGAUGGACCCGCGGCGCAUUAGCUAGUUGGUGAGGUAACGGCUCACCAAGGCAACGAUGCGUACCCGACCUGAGAGGGUGAUCGGCCACACUGGGACUGAGACACGGCCCAGACUCCUACGGGAGGCAGCAGUAGGGAAUCUUCCGCAAUGGACGAAAGUCUGACGGAGCAACGCCGCGUGAGUGAUGAAGGUUUUCGGAUCGUAAAGCUCUGUUGUUAGGGAAGAACAAGUACCGUUCGAAUAGGGCGGUACCUUGACGGUACCUAACCAGAAAGCCACGGCUAACUACGUGCCAGCAGCCGCGGUAAUACGUAGGUGGCAAGCGUUGUCCGGAAUUAUUGGGCGUAAAGGGCUCGCAGGCGGUUUCUUAAGUCUGAUGUGAAAGCCCCCGGCUCAACCGGGGAGGGGUCAUUGGAAACUGGGGAACUUGAGUGCAAAAGAGGAGAGUGCAAUUCCACGUGUAGCGGUGAAAUGCGUAGAGAUGUGGAGGAACACCAGUGGCGAAGGCGACUCUCUGGUCUGUAACUGACGCUGAGGAGCAAAAGCGUGGGGAGCGAACAGGAUUAUAUACGCUCGAUAA
rnacentral:rRNA from 1 species